UCCGGUCCUCGGUAGUGGCCCCCGGAGCACGAGCUCCGUAGGCCUCGAUCGAAGACCGCC
rfam:Cellulomonas sp. PSBB021 chromosome, complete genome.